rnacentral:misc_RNA from 1 species
UACGUGAGCUCCAAGCGUUAUCCGGAAUCAUUGGGCGUAAAGGGUCCGUAGGCGGUGUGUAUUGUCGUGGGUUAAAGGUCUCGGCUUAACCGAGAAGAUGCUCACGAAACGUGCACACUAGAGGAUGUGAGAGGUUGGCGGAACUCACGGUGUAGGGGUGACAUCCGUUGAUAUCGUGGGGAACACCAAAAGCGAAGGCAGCCAACUGGCGCAUUCCUGACGCUGAGGGACGACAGUGUGGGUAGCGAAGAGG